UACGGAGGGUGCAAGCGUUAUCCGGAUUUACUGGGUUUAAAGGGUGUGUAGGCGGGCUGUUAAGUCAGUGGUGAAAUCUCCGAGCUCAACUUGGAAACUGCCAUUGAUACUAAUAGUCUUGAAUCUUGUUGAGGUUGGCGGAAUAUGUCAUGUAGCGGUGAAAUGCGUAGAUAUCGUUUGGAACGCCAAUGGUGAAAACAGACAGCUGGGAGUGUGCUGACGCUGAGACACGAAAGCCAGGGGAGCGAACGGG
rnacentral:rRNA from 1 species